UCCUUUAGAAAUAAAUAGCGUAACACGCUAAUUAGUACUCGAACUAUUUUUUUCUGAAAAAAAAAUGCAUGCAUCCUCUAGGAUAGCAUCUAUCUCUUAGUCUCGGCUUAUAGGAUUUUUCCUUAAAUCCUAACCCGGCUUUAUUGUGCGGCAGUACUUAAUUGUUCGCUUUACUUAUCUUGGAGAAAUUCUAUUAUCUCUUAAUAAAAUAUGGAUUCUUAAAACCCUCCUUAAAUUCCUUCUUCUUCGGAUUUUUCUUAAGGCCGCCCAUGAUUUUCAAAUUUCACCCUUCCGGAUUUUAAACUAUUUACUCGCGACGUUAUUUAGUUAAGCUCCCAAUGCUUAACUUUUAACAAUUCAAGUCCAAAGCAUUAUAAAAUUCGCAACCCAUCUCCUCUUAAUUUAAUUAGGAGGUCCAAGUCCUAAUUAAAUUAAUUUCCUCAAACUAGCUCAACAGUUUAAAAUCUCAGUCCUAUCUCGAGUAGAACGGCACACCACUUCCAUCACUAAAAUCAAUCCAAAUUUCUUAAUUAGUUAAAAGGCCCAAAUCCUUAUUUAACUUUCGGUCUGAUUGUACUUCAUCACAUCCCAACAAUUUAGUUGAGGCAGUCUACUAUACUCAAUUUAUUAAAUGGGACUUAGCCCAACCAUUUAAUUUCCUUGGCCCAGCUACUAAUUAGUUCAAGAGGCCCAAGCAAUAAAAUAUGGAAGCCUAAAAAAGAAUACUCUCUUCCCAUCCCAUCGGUACUUACUCCUUUUCUCCUUCAAAAUCCCCAAUUUCACUUCAUACAUACUCCCCAAUUAAAUCCCUAAUUUGAGGAUUGAAGCAGCGCCUCCUCUCAAUUCUUCUCACCUUUUCUCCGGCGAGCUCACCCCCACGACGGCAGGUGCACCCGAAGACUCUCUCUCUCCUUGCGACGGUGCGAGCGUUGCUGACGGGUAACGCCGCUGCACGCUUCGCCUCCCGCCGUUUCGACGAGCAGCCACCGCCGCUGUUCUCGUCUCCGGCUGCUCGAGAAACAGAACCGCCGCCUACUACGGUUCCCGGUUGCCGCUGGGUCGAGGCCGGCCAGCAAGCGCUCCUGUCGGCGCUGUCGUUGCCGGUCUACUUCUCUGCGGAGUGACAUGCCGCUAAACUCGCGGAAAUCCUGUCACCAUGCUCAGCCCUCUGGUUACGGCGUUAUACACCGUCUUCAAUCCAGCGCCACUGCUAGGCACCGGCUGCCUGCCGCCUCGCAACGUGGCCCUCCGUCGUCGCCCAGAUCGAACAGCCCUGUCUGUCGGGCUCCGUCGCCUCGGAGUCACAGUGGAGUCCGCACGGCAGCCUUCGAGGCUCCGCCGCCAACCGAUCCUCAUCGGGCAGCUCCAAUUACUAAGCUAAGUCCAUUCCCCCUUUUCCCUCUUAACUUAUUGUUAUUCGAUUGUGGUCUCUUGGUUUUACUUGAAGGCAGUAGCUAUGGUAAUUGAUUAUUCGUUGAAUCUAUCGCUAUGAUUUUCCUACGUGAGCAUGCCGCCUAUGAUUCUAAGUUCUGGAAAUUUCGUGGCGUUCUAACGUGAUGCAGAAAGGGUGGGGUUGGUGUUGAGGGAAUUACCUCUCGGUUGGAAAUUCCUUGUUGUCUUCUUGCUGCUAACUCCUCUGCUCGCUCCUCCCCCUUGCUGCUCUUUCGCAAGUUUUGGGGUGGUUUAAGGGUGAAGGAACUUGUGUGGUAUAGCUCUAUAUAUAGCCACAAGUCUUGGCUUUUUGUGGCAGCCAAUGAGGUUUCAAUUCCCUCUUUGGGUUAAAGCUUCUCUCUUCUUUUUGAUUUUGGGCUUAAAGCUUCACUACUAUAUUGGUGUAAUCCUUGGAAAGUGAUAUGCUGUUUCGGGGCUGCUCCUCAGCUCCCUUUCGAGCUUGGUGAUACUGCUAUUCUUACUAAUUUGAUGAAUGUUGGGGCUGUCCUCCUUGGCAUCUACAAUCUUCGGGGCAAAGGCUCCUAUUUUGGGGCUGCUAGCUCUAUCUCUUUUUCGGACUUGACACAAUGCUUCUUUACUUAAUUUGUGCAAGUCUUGGGGUUGUUGCACUUGGCUGAUCCGAAAUGAUCUUGACUCUGCAGAUUGCCUCCUUUUCGGCUUGUGGCUUGGUUAGCUUAACCUGUGGCAGUUUUGCCUUUUUUUCCCAAAUGGUGCAAGUUGAAAAUGGACAAAAGUGGCUGUCCUCACAGCUGAAGACCGCAGCCCCUGGCUGUCCUAGCUUACAUGUGCAAUGGCUGUCCAAGAUUGGAGUUUUGUGGGAGCAAGAAUCGAGAAGAGGAAAGGGGAAAAGAUCAUGCUACAAGGCAUUCCUUGAUCUCAUUACCAUUUCUAGCUAGAGUCAAAUCCUAGAUUAUGUACUCCUUAGAUUUGCUAAGCUGUAACAUAUCUCCUUUGUAUAUCAUGAACAAAAAGCACUCUAUUGGAAUUUCUAUUUUCCAACAA